UACGGGGGGGGCUAGCGUUGUUCGGAAUUACUGGGCGUACAGGGCGCGUAGGCGGCCUACUAAGUCGGACGUGAAAUCCCUCGGCUCAACCGGGGAACUGCGUCCGAUACUGGUGGGCUCGAAUCCGGGAGAGGGAUGUGGAAUUCCAGGUGUAGCGGUGAAAUGCGUAGAUAUCUGGAGGAACACCGGUGGCGAAGGCGGCAUCCUGGACCGGUAUUGACGCUGAUGCGCGAAAGCCAGGGGAGCAAACGGG
rnacentral:rRNA from 1 species